rnacentral:rRNA from 1 species
UACGUAGGGGGCUAGCGUUGUCCGGAAUCAUUGGGCGUAAAGCGCGUGUAGGCGGUCCGGUAAGUCCGCUGUGAAAGUCGGGGGCUCAACCCUCGGAUGCCGGUGGAUACUGUCGGGCUUGAGUACGGAAGAGGCGAGUGGAAUUCCUGGUGUAGCGGUGAAAUGCGCAGAUAUCAGGAGGAACACCAAUGGCGAAGGCAGCUCGCUGGGACGGUACUGACGCUGAGGCGCGAAAGCGUGGGGAGCAAACGGG